rnacentral:rRNA from 1 species
CCGAGUUGUAAUUUGCAGAGGAUGUUAUGGAAUCUGUAUGGACUCAAAUUCUUUGGAAAAAGAUGCCAUGGAGAGUGACAGUCUCGUACUUUUCAAUACAUUUUCCAAUGUAUAACUCCUUCAAAGAGUCGAGUUGUUUGGGAAUGCAGCUCAAAGUGGGACGUAAAUUUGUUCCAAAGCUAAAUACAGGCUAGAGACCGAUAGCGCACAAGUAGAGUGAUCGAAAGAUGAAAAGCACUUUGAAAAGAGAGUUAAAAAGCACGUGAAAUUGUUGAAAGGGAAGCUUAUGUCAUCAGAAAUGGCGUCAUUGUUCAGCCUUUUGGUGUAAUCAAUGACUGUCAGGCCAGCAUCAGUUUAAAUAGUUGGAUAAAAGUGUUGGAAAUGUAACUUCUCCGGAAGUGUUAUAGUCCGAUACAGAAUGCAUCUAAUUCAGACUGAGGACCGCUUAAAGGAUGCU